rnacentral:sRNA from 1 species
GCUGGGCAUAGCAGCAUAUGCUUGUAAUCCCAGCCACUCAGGAGGCUGAGGCAGGAGGAUGGUAAAUUUGAGGCCAGCCUGGGCAAUUUAGCCAGUUCCUGUCUCAA